UACGUAGGGUGCUAGCGUUGUUCGGAAUUAUUGGGCGUAAAGCGCGUGUAGGCUGUUUAUUAAGUCGGGUGUGAAAUCCCUGGGCUCAACCUAGGAAGUGCAUUCGAAACUAGUAAACUAGAAGAUGGUAGAGGAAGGUGGAAUUCAAAGUGUAGAGGUGAAAUUCGUAGAUAUUUGGAGGAAUACCGGCGGCGAAGGCGGCCUUCUGGACCAUUCUUGACGCUGAGACGCGAAAGCGUGGGUAGCAAACAGG
rnacentral:rRNA from 1 species